UAGAUAAAUGGUACAUAUUACUGGGCUAUGGGCCCCACUUGUCGUUGCUGAAUACCUGUGUAAUUGUUAAGAGACGCGCAUUACGUAUAUAGGGAGUUAUUUGAUACUCUGGCAGCGUAUGACUCUUAACAAUAUUUUUCUUGUUUUGUUUCGACUUUGGAUGAUAUUUCCAAGCUCGUGCUUGAAUUAUUCGAAGUGCCUAUGAUGGCUUUAAAUAUACUUUUGAGUUAUAACUACGAAAAAAAUAUGAUCAGAGGCACGUCUAUUUAUCUUUAUUUUUUUCUUAAUUAUUCUCUAUUCAAUUUCAGAUGAUUGCUUUCAACUUAGAGAAUAGAGGCUUUAUUACUAGAACUCUAUUUAUAACAAUUCACAUUUAUUUUAGAAAUAUUUGUGCCCGUGAUUUGUUUGCUUUUUGCGCAGAUUUUGAAUAAAAGACUUUAUCAGCAUGCCUUGGCUGUCUUCUUGUGUUAAUUACAGCAAGAAGUGUGUUCGCUUGGUAGUGUUCUUUCGUGUCAUAUUGUAAGAUUCAAGCUUUUUCGGUAAGACCAACAUCUCAAAAUUUUUUAAUUUUUUUAUUAUUUAUACAAUCUCAUCUUUUAUUGAAAUAUGUUUGUAGAAUCAUUGAUCUAUUGUACAACUAAGUAACAUGUUUUUUAUAUCAAAUCCAUUUUGAAUUUUAUUGUCCCUCUAGUGAAGAUGGUUUGGAUUUUUGGGGCGGCUCAUGCAGUCAUCAGGAUAUUUGUGUUGGGACCUGUACCAUUUUAGUUCUGUCUUUCUUCAAUAAAGCAGUGGUGUGUCUAUAUUGAACUGAAACUUGAAUUUAAUGUCUGGAACAUGCUAGACUGGGCUCUUAGUCAAUGAAGUGAUGCAGAGAAGCUGUAUAAACAACUUGCGCAUUUAAAAUCAAGACCUAGGCAAAAUUUUCAACGUAAUGGUUUCCUGGGACUUUUUGGACGAAAGGUUGAUGUUUUAGAUCACACUGAGAAGAGGUUACAAGAUUUGGAAGAGAAUGUUAGAAUGCAACAAUCAGAUGUUUCAUUGAUAGGAGAGGUCUUAAUACGCCCGAUGGGUGCUGAUGAACAUAUUUAUUCCAAUUAUAUGGACUCAAAGCAGUGGUUACAAGAUACGGAUGUGCUUGAGAUGAUUCUGAAUAAGUUCAGCUCCUCGAACAUGGUGUGAAGUAGGGUACAUGGACCCCAGAAGAAGAUCAAAGGCUUGUGGACUACAUUGAGAAGCAUGGUCAUGGAAGUUGGAGAGCACUCCCGAAGCUCGCGGACCUGAAUAGUUGUGGAAAAUUCUCCAGUGAAGAAGAGCGGAUCAUUGUCAACCUUCAUUCGGUUCUUGGAAAUAAGUUUUAGGCAUGGAUGAAUGGGAGCUAUAGAUCUAUGGAUUUUAUUUAUUUAUUUUGAGACUAUUCGAUUUAUUAUUGUAAAUAUUAUUUGCGGCAACUCGAUGCAUCUGAAAGGGCCACAUAGGCAUGUAUUUUUUUUUUUAUAGGAAAACAAUCACUGGGCACAAUCGACUUCCUAAGAGGAAUGUGAAAUCAAGUGAGCCUUGGCCAAAAGUCAUGUGGGCCUUGACCAAAAGGGUCAAUGAUAAGGUCCAUCAUUUUAUGA